UACGUAGGGUGCGAGCGUUGUCCGGAAUUAUUGGGCGUAAAGGGCAGGUAGGUGGUCUUAUUUGUCAGGGGUGAAAGCCUUGGGCUUAACUCAAGAAGUGCCCCUGAAACGGUGAGACUAGAGUGCUGGAGAGGGUCGUGGAAUUCAUGGUGUAGCAGUGAAAUGCGUAGAGAUCAUGAGGAAGACCAGUGGCGAAGGCGGGUCUCUGGACAGUUCCUGACACUGAGGCACGAAGGCCAGGGGAGCAAACGGG
rnacentral:rRNA from 1 species